AUUUUGCGCAAUGGGGGUAACCCUGNCGCAGCAACGCCGCGUGAGUGAAGAAGGCCUUCGGGUCGUAAAGCUCUGUCAAGUGGGAAGAACCCGCAUCAGGUCAACAGGCUGAUGCGCUGACGGUACCACUGAAGGAAGCACCGGCUAACUCCGUGCCAGCAGCCGCGGUAAUACUGGAGGGUGCAAGCGUUAUUCGGAAUUACUGGGCNGUAAAGGGCGCGCAGGCGGCUGGAUAAGUCAGUAGUGAAAGCCCAGGGCUCAACCCUGGAAGUGCUGCUGAAACUGUUUAGCUUGAGUAUGGUAGAGGGAAGUGGAAUUCCUGGUGUAGCGGUGAAAUGCGUAGAUAUCACGAGGAACACCGCUGNCGAANGCGGNUUCCUGGACCAAUACUGACGCUGAGGCNCGAAGGCGUGGGUAGCAAACAGGAUUANAUACCCUGGUAGUCCACGCAGUAAACGGUGAUCACUAGGUGNUGCGGNUAUUGAUACCUGCAGNGCCGNANCUAACGCAUUAAGNGAUCCNNCUG
rnacentral:rRNA from 1 species